UUUUUUUUUUUUUUCAAAAUGAAAGUAAGUCAUAAGAAGCUCCUGUCGUGGCUCAGCAGAAAUGAAUCUACUAGUAUCCGUGAGGAUGCAGGUUCAGUCCCUGGUCUUGCUCAGUGGGUUAAGGAUCCAGCAUUGCUGUAGCUGUGGUGUUCGUCACAGAUGCAGCUUGAAUCCCAUUGCUGGGACUGUGGUGUAGGCCGACAGCUGUAGCUCUGAUUCAAUUGCUACCUGGGAACCUCCAUAGGUCACGGUGCAGCCCUAAAAAGAACAACAACAACAAUAAAAAAACAAAAGCCAUACAUUUUAUGUAGAUUGAUUUUUUCACUCAGCAUUUCAUGAACAUCUUUCCAUAAUAGGCAGAGUUUUUGCUCUUAAAAAUAAAUUGAUAUAAUUUCAUAUUUAUUCAAUCUCCUAUUAUUGAUUGUAGAUUGCAGAUUGUUCACAAACUUUUAAUAUUACAAACUCAUUUCAAAGCAUGUUACAAUGAAGAUCUUUGUGAAUAUCUAUGAAUAAAUUUGAGUACUAGAAUUAUUACUAUAAAUUCACAUUUUUUUAGGCUUUUAAUAUAAAUUUCCAAAAUGCCAUUCAAAGAGAUUGAACUAAAUUUAGGAUGAUCAUAUAACUGAUCAUCUAAUCUCGAUCUUCAUUUCAAUUUUCCAUUUUUUUUUAAGAUCACAUCCCUGGCAUGAGGAAGUUCCCAGGCCAAGGACUGAACUUGAGCUGCAGCUAUGACCCAAGCCACAGAUAUGGCAAUGCUGGAUACUUCAACUCGCUGUGCUGGGCCAGGGAUGGAACCCACACCUCCACAGUGACCCAAGCUGCUGCAGUCAGAUUCUUUACCCUCUGUGCCAUGGCAGGAACUUCCAACAAUUUUUCAUUUUUAGUCUGCUUUGGUUAAUGUGACUUUGAGGUAAGCAAUGGGUUCAUAUCAAAUUCAGCUACAGCAGUCUCCCAAGCAUUAUCUGUGCCUUAGAUCAAGUUCAAUUAGAGACCCAGGGUAAUUCUUUCAGCAGAGUCUGUGACAGAGAGUCACAACAUGCCAGAUUGUGAUCUACUAACAAACAACUCCAAAAUCAGUGGCUUUAAAAAAGUAUAUCUCUCUCUCACUUCAUGCCUGUCACAGGUCAGCUGAGCUCUGCAGCUCUGAGACCCAGGGGGACAGAGCCUGAGCCAUCUGCAAGCUCCUAGCCCGGUUGCAAAGGGUGGGGGGGACAAUGGCUUCCACCCAGAAGUGGGACACAUCACCUCCACUCACAUUCUACCAGCCAAUGCAAGUCACAUGGCCACACCUCACCCCAAAGGGGCAGGUGUGUGCAACUUUGACCUUGCCUUGCCCAAGAAGGAUGAAAAUCAGAGAACUGCAUUCCUGAUGACCACACUUAGAUUGGAAAUGCCCAGGACUCUGCUCAAGGAUGCUCUCAGAGCCCCUUCUCAAUGCAGAGCACCCGAAUGAAGAUGAAGAAAGAAAAUGCAUGUGGUCAUGCUAUCUUCUCCUGCUCUAAUUAUUGUGCCAAGUUUUUCUUUGCUAUUUCUUAUGACAUUUCCCAGAGGAGUGACAGUGGUGGAAAUCUUGACCUUGCCCACAGGUUCACGGAGAAUGAAAUCUUCCCAGGGUGGGUUGGGAGGGGAAGUUUCACAGUAGUAUCCAUCUGCCAGCUCCAUAGAGCACAUGGAGAUGCCACAUGCCAUCCACACUAAUAGACUAGUAGGUCUUCACCCAGAGAGUCAUGCUGUUGAUCUUGACUGUAGUAUGUGAACCAGAGUCAGCACAGCAGGUGGAGAGAGCAGUGCUGUUGAAAUCAGGUUACCUGGGUUCAAAACCACCCCUUUUUAAAAUGUGACUGCAAACAACUAACUCAACUUCUUUGAGCCUUAGUUUUCCCAGCAGCAAAAUGACAACAGUUCCAGUAAUUGCCCUUUGGAGCUAUUGUGAGAAUUCCCAAAAGAUAAUAUGUGACUUUUUAAAUUGCUAUUUUUGCUGGUGGUAGUGCCGUUAUUUGGCCCAGCUCCUGCAAGCCUGUAACUGGUGUUAAACCCUGCGCAUUGAUGGUCACACUCAUUUAGCUAUGCCCUUGGUGCUCAUGUGGGAGGGCAUAGCCAGUAAGUGCUGUGAGAAUAAAAUGGGAAAAAAAAUAUGAAAAGCAGUGGUCCCUUACAUUUAAUUAUUAUGAAAUAAUUUUGUGCCUGGAACAAGGAGACAGUUAUCCUCCUUACCCGAAAAUAUCUCCCCUACCAAUCUGCCAUGAUGCCUAGUAUUUUAUCAUUAGAAACUCAUUCCUUUGGCUUAAUCAGUGCCUUGUGUAAGUGCCUUAUACACACUGAUUGAGUAAAUGAGGGACAGAGGGAAAGGGCUUAACAGGAGUAGCCAAGGCACUUCUAACAUAUAUUUUGAUGAAAACAGCUAGAAAUUUUCUCCUGCCCAGUAAUUCCCCAGUUGUCCUGCAAGAGUAACUCAAAUGCCACCUUGUGCAAUGACAUUAAAAUUCUGUCUAUCAGUGCAAUAGUUUCUAAGCCAACAUUCUUGUCUCCAAUCAGCUUCCUCUAAUCCAGCCUCUGUAUUACCACAGGUAAUCUUGCUACAAAGAGAGGUUAUCGUGUCAUGAACUAGUUCUAGUGUCAUUUGCUUUAAAAAUAGAGGUUGACUCCUUGGUGUGGCAUGAGACAUCCCCCACCAUCACAUCCGAGGCCCCUUCAUUGGCUUUGUCUUUUACUUCUGCCUCCAGCUCCCUCAUCUCCAACAAUAUUCUAUCUCUCACACACACAAAUUGCCUAGGCAGAGAGCAUCACUUUUUUUUUUUUUUUGUCUUUUUGCCUUUUCUAGGGCCACACCUGAGGCAUAUGCAGGUUCCCAGGCUAGGGGUCUAAUCGGAGCUGUAGCCGCUGGCCUACACCACAGCCACAGCAAUGCAGGAUCUGAGCCCNAAAAAAAAAAAAAAAAAAAAAGAGGGGGGCGGGGGGGGGGGGGGGGGGGGGGGGGGGGGGGGGGGGGGGGGGGGGGAGGAAGAAAAGCAACUGAGGACCAGAGAGAUUACAUGUUUACCCAAGGUCAUAAAACCACAGAGUGGCCAGGCCAGGACUUGAACUCAGGACUGUGGGCUCUGGAGCCUGUGGCUGUCUUCAGAUCAGCCUGGGCCACAGAGAUCCCCCAGGUGACCACUUCUUGGCUUUUCUGCCUCAAGAAACAGAGGACUUCACAUGCUGAUAACUCCUUUCUCCUUUCCACUUGGACAAGUUGCCCUUUCACUGGAAAGGGAAAUGACUUCCAGCUCCAUCCAGAAAAGACCCCAGCUCCCUGCUCUGCCCACAGAGACCGUGAGGCCCAUCCAUCACUGAGGCCUGGCUCGCCUGCCCCUUUACUGCUGUGUUAGCUCAGACCCUGGAGUCUGCCAGGAGAAGAGGCAGCCUUGCUCUGGGUCCUUCUUUCCUCCCCAGCUUCCCUCCUCCUUCUCUGAGCCCCCAUUUCUCCAUGGGUCUCCCAUCCUUCUAAGCCGCCUGGCUUUGCUAAGGUUCCCUGACUUUUAUAGACAUGAGCCAGAGCUGGGUCGUUAAACAUGAAUCUUUUGAAAUCCCAGAGAUUCAUAGUCCAACCUAAUGCCUGCAGUGGGCGAGGAGCAAGGUACAUGUGAUCUGGCCCCACAGACUCAGAACCUGUAACUGAGGGUUUGAGGCCACCCCAGAGGACUGGGCUAACUCCAAGGGUCCCCAGAAGCUGGAGGUGGGGACAUGCCAUAACUCUUGGCCAAGCACUCCUGC
rnacentral:lncRNA from 1 species